AUUGAACGCUGGCGGCAUGCUUUACACAUGCAAGUCGAACGGUAACAGGCCUUCGGGUGCUGACGAGUGGCGAACGGGUGAGUAAUGCAUCGGAACGUACCCAGAGGUGGGGGAUAACGCAGCGAAAGCUGUGCUAAUACCGCAUGUGAUCUGAGGAUGAAAGCGGGGGACCGAGCAGCAAUGUUUGGCCUCGCGCCUUUGGAGCGGCCGAUGUCGGAUUAGCUAGUUGGUGGGGUAAAGGCCUACCAAGGCGACGAUCCGUAGCUGGUCUGAGAGGACGACCAGCCACACUGGGACUGAGACACGGCCCAGACUCCUACGGGGGGCAGCAGUGGGGAAUUUUGGACAAUGGGCGCGAGCCUGAUCCAGCAAUGCCGCGUGCGGGAAGAAGGCCUUCGGGUUGUAAACCGCUUUUGGCAGGAACGAAACGGUGUCCGCUAAUACCGGGCGCUAAUGACGGUACCUGCAGAAUAAGCACCGGCUAACUACGUG
rnacentral:rRNA from 1 species